rnacentral:lncRNA from 1 species
CGCGCGGCUCAGCGGGGGCGGCUUCGCGGCGGGGAAGGGGUACAGCCCGAGACCCCCAGCGACACGACAGCACCGGCGGCCUCGGCGCCGGGUCGGCGGCCAAAGUCGCCGGCAAUACAGAAAAAUGUCUGGUGGUGCCAGAAAACUCUUCACUGCUACAGACCCUUCCCAGCCUGAUCCGUCUCUUCUCCACAGGGGAAAUGGACCACGAGAAAGAGAAAAGUUUCAUGGUGGUUGGGAAGACAACUGAGGAGAGCAGGGAUGAGAGAUCUAUAUGGGUUGCAGAAGAUAUUCAUCAUCUGCCUACCAGCCCUGUGGGAAAUAUACCAAGAGAAUUAUUCCAGACAUUGCUCAUUUCUGCAAAUGGAAGGAGCUGA